GGCAACAUGGCCGAGUGGUCUAAGGCGCCAGACUCAAGCUUCCAGCUUCUGAAUUCAAAGUUCAGCGCAUUCUGGUAUCGCAAGAUGCGUGGGUUCGAAUCCCACUGUUGUCA